rnacentral:rRNA from 1 species
CCUACGGUGAGCAGCAGUGGGGAAUAUUGCACAAUGGGGGGAACCCUGAUGCAGCGACGCCGCGUGAGUGAAGAAGUAUUUCGGUAUGUAAAGCUCUAUCAGCAGGGAAGAAAAUGACGGUACCUGACUAAGAAGCCCCGGCUAACUACGUGCCAGCAGCCGCGGUAAUACGUAGGGGGCAAGCGUUAUCCGGAUUUACUGGGUGUAAAGGGAGCGCAGACGGCUGUGCAAGUCUGGAGUGAAAGGCGGGGGCCCAACCCCCGGACUGCUCUGGAAACUGUAAAGCUGGAGUGCAGGAGAGGUAAGCGGAAUUCCUAGUGUAGCGGUGAAAUGCGUAGAUAUUAGGAGGAACACCAGUGGCGAAGGCGGCUUACUGGACUGCAACUGACGUUGAGGCUCGAAAGCGUGGGGAGCAAACAGGAUUAGAUACCCGAGUAGUC